UCUGGAAAAUGGAUUCCAUCUGUUCACAAGAGUACAUGAAGAGGGGAAGGUUGUCAUUGUGUACAGACUGGAGAAUCAGACCUAAACAAAACCCAGAGUUAAGGAAGAAACCUGUUCAGAAGACAAACAGAAUAACAAUGAUCAGAGAAAGAAGCAUAGUAACCCCCGGUCCACUGAUGAUCUGCUGUGAAAACUUUGUAUUGUUAGAUAUAC
rnacentral:lncRNA from 1 species